GAUGAACGCUGGCGGCGUGCCUAAUACAUGCAAGUCGAGCGAACAGACGAGGAGCUUGCUCCUCUGACGUUAGCGGCGGACGGGUGAGUAACACGUGGAUAACCUACCUAUAAGACUGGGAUAACUUCGGGAAACCGGAGCUAAUACCGGAUAAUAUAUUGAACCGCAUGGUUCAAUAGUGAAAGACGGUUUUGCUGUCACUUAUAGAUGGAUCCGCGCCGCAUUAGCUAGUUGGUAAGGUAACGGCUUACCAAGGCAACGAUGCGUAGCCGACCUGAGAGGGUGAUCGGCCACACUGGAACUGAGACACGGUCCAGACUCCUACGGGAGGCAGCAGUAGGGAAUCUGCCGCAAUGGGCGAAAGCCUGACGGAGCAACGCCGCGUGAGUGAUGAAGGUCUUCGGAUCGUAAAACUCUGUUAUUAGGGAAGAACAAAUGUGUAAGUAACUAUGCACGUCUUGACGGUACCUAAUCAGAAAGCCACGGCUAACUAC
rnacentral:rRNA from 1 species